AUUGAACGCUGGCGGCAGGCUUAACACAUGCAAGUCGAGCGAAGCGGGGACGGGUGAGUAACACGUGGAUAACCUCCUAUAAGACUGGGAUAACUUCGGGAAACCGGAGCUAAACCGGAUAAUUAUAGAUGGAACCGCGCUGCAUUAGCUAGUUGGUAAGGUAACUGCUUACCAAGGCAACGAUGCAUAGCCGACAUGGGAGGGUGUUCGGCAACACUGGAACGGAGACACGGUCCAGACUCCUACGGGAGGCAGCAGUAGGGAAUCUUCCGCAAUGGGCGAAAGCCUGACGGAGCAACGCCGCGUGAGUGAUGAAGGUCUUCGGAUCGUAAAACUCUGUUAUUAGGGAAGCGGUACCUAAUCAGAAAGCCACGGCUAACUACGUGCCAGCAGCCGCGGUAAUAC
rnacentral:rRNA from 1 species